CGACCAAGCACUACUUUGGCAGUUUCAUCGAUGGCUCCCUCGAAACCUUAUGCGGCAGUGCGGACAUCGCUCUGGCGGCGGCUUUGGUAGGAGAGCCGCGAUGACGGCGCGUCUGACGGCCGGCAGGCCCCGNNNNNNNGUCCGCGAUGGACUCUUUUUUCCCGCCUGGCUUGGGCCAGGCGCCGGUGCUGGAAGAAGGCAUAGGCGAUCAUGGUCAUCAGCGCAUGUCGGUGGAGCCCUUGCCGCCCUCGAUGUGGUCGAGACCGAGUUCCUCCUU
rnacentral:misc_RNA from 1 species